GAAGGAGGAAGGGGGCAGCCGGCGAGGGCGCAGAGCCCGCCCGGCCGCGGGAGGACGGGGCGCGGACUGGAAGCGCCGCUCGCGGGAGCGGAGACGCUCGGGCAAGUCCGGGCGGGCCGCGCAAGUUGUCUAGUUUCUCUCAAGCCCAGGGCCGGCCGGCGGCUCGGGUUGGCCCCGCGGGGCCCUCCCGCGACGGCGAAACCCCCCAGCCCGAAGCGGCCCGCCGGCCCCGCCCAGCCCGGGCAGCCCCCGGCGGCAGGGGUGUGUCGGGGCGGGCGGCCGCGCGGCUCCGGGAACUCGGCUCCGUCAGACUUCCGGGACAGAGGAGGCUUUUCUGCUCAAAAGCCACCAGACUCCUCCGAUGCGCUUUGCUUUUACGGUGGAAAACUCCGAUAACCAUUUCAAAAGGCACACACAGCCCUGAAAAUAAGUGAAAUUAGAACCUGCCGACUUCACUUCCUGGAGGCUUUUUGUUGGGGCUUGAAACUAGGAAUCUGUGCGGGUCAUCCUCGAUAUUCCCACUUGCAAAGCUGGACUUUUGGCUUUUCUUGGAGAUAUGAGACCCGGCCACAGGGGAGGGACUUGUUGGCUGGAGCCCAGCAGUCUGGACGCCCUUGAGCCCAUCACCAGCCCGUCCUCCAGCCCAGCACUGUGCAUUUUCACGUCUCCUUGCCGGGCUUCCUAUCCGUUACUUCUGCAUUAUAGGACCAACUCUUGUGAUUAUCAUCAGCUAGAGGAAAUCCAUACGUCUCCCCGGGUAACAUGAAGUCGCCAUGUUGCCAAGGACCCUAGGGAUUUUCUUCUGUGGUCAUGGUCACAGCCAAAGUCUUCUUGAAGGACACAUUUUCAUUUCAUUGCCAUAUUUGGUGGCUAAGAACCUUCUGGUUACGUUGCUAAACUUUUAGAAUUUAAUUUGCUCGAUUCAAUGGCCGAAGAAACCCACCGAUGACUGUAUGUACUCAUACAUAUGAAAUAAAUGACACGUGCCAGCCCCCGGAAGAUGA